GAUAGUGAAGGAGUCUUGGAAUUUAACAUCCCCCUGAAGCUGAAGAAGUUAAAGGCCCACUGCGUACUCUGAAAUCAAAAUCAUCUGUUCAGGGAGGAUGGAGACUUCCUGUGGAAAGUACAAACUUUAAAGAUUCCCAUUUUUGCUGCUCAUCUAAAUAAUGUAGGAUUUAUGAUUUCAUACUAAAUGCAAGUAGGAAAGCCUCCUCUUCAAUGAAACAAGAUAUCUGCAGAGCAAAAUGAGGCAGCUGAUAAUAUCGUUAUUUCUGGCCAUCUCAAACAGAAAUCUACAUUGGCAAUCAAACUCAACCUGUUUCUUAGGCUAUGCUGCCUACAUUGGAUACAUCUGCCCUAAUCAACCUCUGGAUCUUAUUCUCUGCUCCUCAAACACAUCGCAGAGAAGAAUAUACACACAGAAGGUGAUGGGAGCAAAUUGAAAAGAGCCUGCAAUUCCAACUACCAGAGUCAAAGAGUGGCUGAAAAGAUCUCUGGGAAGAGUCAUGGAAUCAGGUAAAACUCAGGGUAUGUGGGGAUGAUGAGUCACAUGAUGUGGCCAGAGUGCACAGAGCCCAGGAAGACGAAGGACAGGAACUUCUUAGAAAGCUGGAGACACAGAUGGAGUCACAGGAUAAAGGUAGAUGCCAUCACAAGGAAUUUAUAUAAAACCCAUAACCUAAGUUAUAGAAAGUCUUAAAAUCUUUGCAAGGUAACUUUUUUUCGGAUGACCUAAAUAUACUGGAUUAUUUUGUGUUGCCAUGAGGUCUGUCUCUUUGAAAGCCUGUGAAAACUACUGAAGCUUCUGCCUUAUUCAAAGAAUCAACAUCCUUAAGAAGUUAACAUAAUGGGGUGAUAUAAGCAUACACUAUGCAGUCAGAUGUAGAAUCUUUGCUGAUUCAUCUAUUCAACAAGCCAAUGACCUUGGGCAUAUGGCUUAAACCCUCUGAGUAUCAGUUAUGAAAUGGCAUCUUAGUUCAUGUGACCCAAUAGGUGGUUUAAAUGGGGUAGCCCAGUAGAUGUAUAAUAAAUGUAACAUUUUGAAGAGAGGGCCA
rnacentral:lncRNA from 13 species